GGGAUGUUCUUCCAGUGGCCAGGAUGCCCGGCUGUGACCCAGGCGACGCCGGUUCGAACCCGGCACAUCCCC
rnacentral:tRNA from 1 species